rnacentral:rRNA from 1 species
GAUGAACGCUGGCGGCGUGCCUAAUACAUGCAAGUCGAGCGAACGGACGAGAAGCUUGCUUCUCUGAUGUUAGCGGCGGACGGGUGAGUAACACGUGGAUAACCUACCUAUAAGACUGGGAUAACUUCGGGAAACCGGAGCUAAUACCGGAUGAUAUUUUGAACCGCAUGGUUCAAAAGUGAAAGACGGUCUUGCUGUCACUUAUAGAUGGAUCCGCUCUGCAUUAGCUAGUUGGUAAGGUAACGGCUUACCAAGGCAACGAUGCAUAGCCGACCUGAGAGGGUGAUCGGCCACACUGGAACUGAGACACGGUCCAGACUCCUACGGGAGGCAGCAGUAGGGAAUCUUCCGCAAUGGGCGAAAGCCUGACGGAGCAACGCCGCGUGAGUGAUGAAGGUCUUCGGAUCGUAAAACUCUGUUAUUAGGGAAGAACAUAUGUGUAAGUAACUGUGCACAUCUUGACGGUACCUAAUCAGAAAGCCACGGCUAACUACGU